GCGUCCGCGCAAGGAUGGAGGCCUUCAGAAGCACAGGCGGUGACCCCAGCCGGCGACGUCGCGGCGGGCGGUGCCCACCCCGGACCCUGCGCCCAGCGGCCGCCAGCGAGUGCAGGAGUCAGCUGUGCCUCCGCCUCUGCGUCGUCAAGGAGACCCUGGGCACCGAGAGGGACUAUGUUGGCACCUUGCGGUUCCCUCCCUCGUGUGGAUUUGACCUGCACCAUAGAGUUUGAUUUCUUAAAGGAUACCUGCAACUACUGCCAUUCAAAUUCAUGCUGGUGACAUGGAAAAAUGAGGAGGCUUCAUCCAGUUAGUCAUCAUCCAGCAGAACACUGAGCAAUGCAACCUGGGAUUCCAACCCUACCUGACACUGAGAAGAGACAACCAGACCAUGUGACAGGAGAUGUGAACUGACUCCUCUCACAUCCAGGUGGUGGCAGUGACUGAGUAACUCUAACAUUCCAUUUGUCCGUGGUGUUACCCAGCUGCCUGAGCUGGUCUGAAUUCCUUUCUCUAGGUUUUGGCACUGGAGCCUUUGCCUACACAUCUGGAGCAGGUUGGAGGCUCUGUGACUACACCAGCUGAGUGGGGAUUCCGAAUGAAUAAUACCUGAAGGUGCUUAGGUGGUUAAUGUGUGUAAGGUUUUCCCCAUGCGUUAUCUACCUUACCUUCCCAACCCUACACAGUCCUGGCUAGGGCAGCAUGGGCGAUCACCCCACUAGUAUUUAGGGCAAAAAUUGGCAAGUUGGGAAAGGAUCACAUGGCUCCAGACAUACUGGUAGAGUCCUCUCUUUUCUCAUUGAUUUGAAUUCCUUUGUCUAGAUCGGGUACUGGAGCCUUCACCUCUGCCUCUAGGAGCUGAAUGAAGACUCUGUGACUGCCCCAUCAGAUAAAAGACUGUCUGUCCCACAUGAAGGAGUGGGACUUUGGCAGGGAGUGUAGUAGCCUAGGUGAAAUGAAGGACACAAGGAGAUCCAUGUGAAGAGCAGCUACAAUCCAAAGAAUCCAGUUCUGUAUUCCUGACCGGUACCCAUGCUUAGUAAGAAAACACCAAAAGCUCUUGGUCUGCUGAUUUGAGGUGCUAGUCAAUGGCUGAGCUGUGUCCCCAUUCCUUGCUGCCAUCGGAAGAGGAAAGACAAGAAGAAAGGAUUUUGUUGGUACACAUGCAGUUAUAGAAAUAAUCAGAAGAUCCUGUGUAUCCUUUACCUAGAUUCCCCAUGGAGAUAUGUUGCAAAGAUGUACCACAAAACAACUCAUUGGGGCAUCAGCAGAACCUCACCAGACAAAAUGUUCAUGUGUUGAUGAAUGAAGGCUUCUCAUGCGACAUCAAGCUCAGAAGGACACUUAGAUCUGCAGCUCUGGCC